CUCUCUGCUCUUCCCCAGCCUGCGCUGCUCCAGCUCCACGUGCGCCCGGGGAUGCAAUGCAGCCCUGCAGACAAGCGUCUCCGGCAGGACGUGGGCCGCGGGUCUCGGAGCCUCCUUCACUUAGGUACAAACAAUCGUCGCCGCAGGGGCCGGACCCCAGUCCGAGCUCCGAGAUCCCAUGAACAGCAGUACCACCUGCCAACGCGUCCUCAUAUGUAAAAUGGGCAUAAACUCGAACCUCCCUCCUAAGGCUGAAUCCUCCGGAAUCCGCCCCACUGCACGCCAGCAGUCGGAGGCCUGGGGCGUGCUGCCCACGUGACUGACGGCCGGGAAGGAAAGAUGGCGGCGACUAUGAUGGCUUCAGAGAGAGGGCAACCAACGAGAGGACGCCGCCCGCCAGAGCGUCCACACCGCCGCUUUUUCUGCGGUUGCGUCCUGGGAAGGCGCGAAUUGUGUGGCUACGGGCGGGUCGUCCUCUCCACCAUUUUUUAAUGGAAAAAAUAAUAAUUCUCAAAGACGGUUUGGUCUGACCUGCCUCCCCACCUCUUGGCAUCCGCAGGAUCGCAGGCGUGUAAAAGACGGGAUUGUGGGACUGGGCCCAGUGACUCAUGCCUGUAAUCCCAGCGCUUUGCGGGGCCAAGGCCAGAGUAUCUCUUGAGCCCAGGUGUUCGAGACCAGCCUGGGCAACAUAGCGAGCCCCCAUCUCUAUUUUUAAAAAUGGUGUAUAGAUAUAGAGGAGAUCGUGGGAUUCAGUAUCUGAGAUUUUCUACCUUGGUGUCAACGCCCCUGUCAACCUAUUAGGUGACCUCAGAGUGUUCCCCCAGCCCUCAAUUCUAGGGAUCCCAGAUCCUGGAACACACACAUGCCCCGUCUGCCCCUUCGGGACAAGGAGAUCUAAUGGCACUCUCAGAAUUAGGCCUUAAAUGCUAAUUUCCUGGA
rnacentral:lncRNA from 1 species